GACGAACGCUGGCGGCGUGCUUAACACAUGCAAGUCGAACGGUGAAGCGCCUUCCUUUUUGGUGGGUGUGGAUGAGUGGCGAACGGGUGAGUAACACGUGAGUAACCUGCCCCCUUCUUCUGGAUAACCGCAUGAAAGUGUGGCUAAUACGGGAUAUUCUGGGUCUGUCGCAUGAUGGGUCUGGGAAAGAUAUUGUUUCGGUGGGGGAUGGGCUCGCGGCCUAUCAGCUUGUUGGUGGGGUGAUGGCCUACCAAGGCGGUGACGGGUAGCCGGCCUGAGAGGGUGGACGGUCACACUGGGACUGAGACACGGCCCAGACUCCUACGGGAGGCAGCAGUGGGGAAUAUUGCACAAUGGGCGCAAGUCUGAUGCAGCGACGCCGCGUGAGGGAUGGAGGCCUUCGGGUUGUGAACCUCUUUCGCCAGUGAAGCAGGCCUGCCUCGUUUGUGGGUGGGUUGACAGUAGCUGGAUAAGAAGCGCCGGCUAACUACGUG
rnacentral:rRNA from 1 species